UACGAAGGGGGCUAGCGUUGCUCGGAAUCACUGGGCGUAAAGCGCACGUAGGCGGCUUCUCAAGUCAGGGGUGAAAUCCUGGAGCUCAACUCCAGAACUGCCUUUGAUACUGAGGGGCUCGAGUCCGGGAGAGGUGAGUGGAACUGCGAGUGUAGAGGUGAAAUUCGUAGAUAUUCGCAAGAACACCAGUGGCGAAGGCGGCUCACUGGCCCGAUACUGACGCUGAGGUGCGAAAGCGUGGGAGCAACAGG
rnacentral:rRNA from 1 species